CAAUAGCGUAUAUUUAAGUUGCUGCAGUUAAAAAGCUCGUAGUUGGAUUUCGGGUGGGAAUGGCCGGUCCGCCGUUUCGGUGUGCACUUGCUACGCCCACCUUGCUGCCGGGGACGUGCUCUUGAGUUCACGCUCGGGACACGGAGUCGGCGAGGUUACUUUGAGUAAAUUAGAGUGUUCAAAGCAGGCCUACGCUCUGAAUACAUUAGCAUGGAAUAACACGAUAGGACUCUGGCCUAUCUUGUUGGUCUGUAGGACCGGAGUAAUGAUUAAGAGGGACAGUCGGGGGCAUUCGUAUUUCAUUGUCAGAGGUGAAAUUCUUGGAUUUAUGGAAGACGAACAACUGCGAAAGCAUUUGCCAAGGAUGUUUUCAUUAA
rnacentral:rRNA from 1 species